UACAGAGGGGGCAAGCGUUGUUCGGAAUUACUGGGCGUAAAGGGCGCGUAGGCGGCCUGUUAAGUCGAACGUGAAAUCCCCGGGCUCAACCCGGGAACUGCGUCCGAAACUGGCAGGCUUGAAUUCGGGAGAGGGAUGUGGAAUUCCAGGUGUAGCGGUGAAAUGCGUAGAUAUCUGGAGGAACAUCGGUGGCGAAGGCGACAUCCUGGACCGAUAUUGACGCUGAGGCGCGAAAGCCAGGGGAGCAAACGGG
rnacentral:rRNA from 1 species